UGGUAGACAAUGUGGGAAAGUACUCUGUUAGAGGAAAGAAGGGAUGGUCUGAUAAAAGAGGGAGCUGAGCUGGCUGGAGGCUGCAAUUCUGAACGUGAGCUUAACUGGGAGGAACCAUGAAGACAUCCAUGAAAGCUUUAAUCAUGUUUUCGUGGCUGCAGCUCAACUGGUUCAGCCAGGGAGAGAAUGUGGAGCAGCAUCCUUCUACCCUGAGUGUCCAGGAGGGAAGCAGCUCUGUUAUCAACUGCAGUUAUUCAGAUGGUGGCUCAGACUACUUCCCCUGGUAUAAGCAAGAACUUGGAAAAGGUCCCCAGCUCCUUGUAUACAUUCGUUCAAGCAUGGCCACAAAAGAAGACCAAAGACUCACUCUCUCAUUGAAUAAGACGGCCAAACAUUUCUCCCUGCACAUCAGAGACACCCAGCCUGAAGACUCAGCUGUGUACUUCUGCGCAGCAAGCACACAUUGCUUCCCAGGCACCUGCUGCCUGCACUCAAACCUGGGACUGGGGCAGCCCCUGUCCUUUGACACAGACCUUCAAGCAUAGCUU